UACAGAGGGUGCGAGCGUUGUCCGGAAUCACUGGGCGUAAAGGGCGCGUAGGCGGCUUGAUAAGGUUGCGGUGAAAGCCCGGGGCUCAACCCCGGGUCGGCCGUGGCAACUGUCGAGCUGGAGCACUGUAGAGGCAGGUGGAAUUCCGGGUGUAGCGGUGGAAUGCGUAGAGAUCCGGAAGAACACCGGUGGCGAAGGCGGCCUGCUGGGCAGUGGCUGACGCUGAGGCGCGACAGCGUGGGGAGCAAACGGG
rnacentral:rRNA from 1 species